rnacentral:rRNA from 1 species
UAUAAAUACCGGAAGAUUAGGCUCUUUAGUUGAUGAAUGGCGCUGAAAACUAUGAUGCA